rnacentral:rRNA from 1 species
GGCGAACGCUGGCGGCGUGCCUUAGACAUGCAAGUCGAGCGGGGAUGUUGCCUUCGGGCAGCAUCUUAGCGGCGAACGGCGGAGUAAUAGGUGGGUAACCUGCCCCGAAGACCGGGACAACCUUGGGAAACUGAGGCUAAUACCGGAUGUGGUGCAUUCGGUUUCGGCUGGAUGCAUUAAAUGGAUUUCCGCUUCGGGAUGAGCCCGCCUCCUAUCAGGUAGUUGGUGAGGUAACGGCCUACCAAGGCGACGACGGGUAGCUGGUCUGAGAGGACGAUCAGCCACACUGGCACUGAGACACGGGCCAGACUCCUACGGGAGGCAGCAUG